GAUUAAUUCUUAACCUAUUAAAAUAAAAUACAAUUCCUCCUUGAUCAUCAAGAUUCUGCAUACGUGGGAUUGGUGCAGCAUAGCCAUCUUUUGGUUGAAGAAGGCUUCUUGUGUUUUAUUAACGAGGCCGUCGCCGCCGUUGUGUCGUCCAGCAAUCGGGGUUGUUCUUCCUUUCGAUUUCCUGCUCUUUUCAAAUUCCUAGCCUUGUCAAAGAUAACAGAAAAUUCUGUGGCUGCCGCCGGAUUAUUUACAUCCCAUUCUCCGAAUUUCGGCAAUGGAACACUUCUUUCCGUCGACAUUUUCAGAAGAGCAAAAAGGGUGAAAAGAUGUUCCCACACGUCCUCUCUAUUUCACCCUGAUUGCCAACCCUCUUUUAUUUUUUAUUUAUCUGUUGUUUUUCUCCCUUCUUUAAUCAUCAGAGAAUCUGCGUAAAUUCGUCUAAUAAUAGUGUGAAUGCGGGUGAAUCCAGCGUACGUGUAUGAUUCUAG
rnacentral:lncRNA from 1 species